ACAUUUCCAAAAAACUGGCCAAAACAAUCCAAAAAGUGUACUUGCUUCUUCGACUCUGAAUGAGAAUAAAACCUGCAAUUUCAUAGACGAUGGACAGGCAGGAAAUAUUGUUGAGAAAUGUAAUGAUGUAUCUUGUCAUAACUGGAUCUGCAUGGGGCAAGAAAUUAUUUAAAAACAGACCAGGACACAGUCGUCUGAAUCGUCAACAGCCAGUACGAUGUAGAUAUCAGCAGAAAAGGAAGAUGUCAUUGGAACAUUU